CACACACACACACACUCACACGCCUCUAAAGAAUAUGAGAAAAAGAACGAAGUGGCGGCACUACCUCUAAAUCCGGAGAACUGGGUAGCAUCUUCCAGCUCACACCGUUGCCGCGGAGGAGAACAGGCCGGGCGCCCCGCCGACGUUCGCGGGCCUCGGGCCGACCUCUCCUGCUGCGGGUCACCUUCCUCUUGGACAUCACCGGACGGGGCGAGCGGCCGCCCAGAGCCGUGACUUCCGGCGGCGACAGACCCAAAGCUGAGCACCCCCUUCUGGGAACCCGCCUAACAGGGCUGGGGGGCAAAGACGCUCCUCAGGCUGGGCAGACGGGGCGCCCAGAGCCGCGACGCAGAGGCCCCUCGGCCGCCCGGCCCGCAGGCUGGCUGGGCCUGCGCAGGCGCGUGGCUCCUCUCCCAGCAGCCCCCGCGGGGGUCACGCCGGGUCGACGACCCCGACGCGCCGCUAAAGGGGGAGCCCGCGGCGGAGAAGGCGGUGGUGGAGGAGGAGCAGCGAGUGGGGCUCGGCUGCUCUUGGACGUGCUGCUCCUCAACUCGGAUGAGACGCUGGCCGAGGGCAUGUUCCGUGGUUCCUUCCGAAGACCAGCGCCCUCCGCCAGCCGCCUGAGAAGGGCCCGCAGCCCGACGCUGAGGCCGCCCGAGACAAUAAGGAUACUGUGCCCAUCAGGAAAAAACUGGGUUUACAUCCGGUCAUACAGAAGCAUAUCAGCCUGGCAGAGCGUGUGGUGAGUCUGAAGGGACCAUCAGUAUACAUUACAGGGUUUUAGAUCCUGUGUGUGGAUGGUUUUAGUCGUGUUGCUUUAAUAUGGGAAUGUGAUUGUGAUUAAAGAGUUUGCUGUUAUUGAAUGAAAUAAGAACGCACGACGUCAGAGUUGUGAGUUAAGCUUUAUUCGGGAACCUUACUGAGGACCUGCAGUGCACGAAGCAGCCUCCCAGGUGGCUCUGAGAAACUGCUGCAGAGAGGUCAAGGGAGCUGUCAGCUGUAUUUUUUGCUGGAAAAACACAUGUGGUCUAACAUCACAAGAUUACUGCUAAUCGCAAACAUCUCAAGUUAAUAAUUUCUGUGCUUCUCUAUUUAUGGGAAGAGGCACAGAUCUGGGGUCAUUUGAGUUUUUUUCUUAGCAUCUUAACUAUCUCGGGGCCAGUUUAAUCCAAAACUCAGAGUACUUCCUAUUUUUCCCUGUCCUGGAUUUCCCUGGGUGUAAAUUGUCCGUGGGCGACUGCAUGGGCUUGAUCCUUGUGGAAAUGGAGUGGAAGGUAAUAGUUUGUUCUUUACACCGCUAAGAGUUUCGGGAGGGUGGACAUAGUGAUGUAGGGUGGUUAAAGUGACUCUCAAUUAAGUGAAUUGUUUUUGAUAAGUCACUGGUUUUUCCAGGCAAGUAAACUGUUGUUUCUAGCAGUGUUUUGUUUGUCCACACCAUCAACUUAUUGCUCUGAGAAUGUGACCAUUUGAACAGUCAGAUAAAUUGAUUUUUAGGAAGUUCCUGAAGUAAGCAGUGAAGUUAUUUACCAGUUUAUAGUUUAAUCCUCCUGGGCAAGAAUUUCUUGGAAAAAAUCCUCAGGUCUUGUUUCAUAUAAGCAGCCUAAAUAAUUCUCAGCAUAAUCAAAGUUAUAGAGAGAAAGUUCCUUGGUGAAUUAAUAUCAUUAAAAUUUUCUCCACACAACUGAAUUCUUAACUAAAUAAUUUAAAGUAAUUGGUUAGUUUUAGAAAUCUCAGUACCCUUUUUAUGUCUCCGUGCUUCCCAAUUAUUAUACUUUAUUAACAACAGACCAGAAUCUGCAAACAAAUGUAAUGGUUUUCUUUUUUAAUAAGCGUUCCCGCCAUGUCUCUCUUUUCCUCUCUCUCACAAUCGCUCUGUCUCUCAUUCUCUCUGUGACAUUAGAACGUGUAAAUAAUAGUCGACAUUUAUGCACAUAUAUUUUAACUAUUAAUUCGCAGAAUACCAUAAGACAAUAUAAUAUUAAAUCCCUUGAAACAUUUGUGAAACUUCUCCUUUUAUUUUUCAUUUAAACAGAUGUUAUUUUCCCUGGAUAUGAAGAUUAGAUGUUUAUGAAAUUCUUCCGUUCAUAUUUGCAAGUAAAUGGUGGACAUGCAUAGGAAUGAGACAAUUUCACAAAAAUUGCUCAAUGUCAUAGACAAAGUGCAUGCACGUUAACACAAAAUCCAUACUACUAAAAUGUUAAUAAAACUGAUUUUGAAAUAAUAGUGCCUUUAAUUUCUAAGGGAUAUUAAAAAUAUGUUUGCUAUUGUCAGAACAUUUUUUUAAAAUGAUCUAAAGGUCCUUAAAGUUUUGCUUUUGCUAAUUGCUUUAUUACUCAUAAGGUGUGCAUAGAGAAAGAAAAUUUGUUUUGCAAACUACUCUUUCCUUUCUUCAUAUAUUUAUGGCACAUUCAGUGCUUGCAAAGAGAUUAAACUCAGAAGCCGCAAUUGCUCUACUUAGAUGUUACUCAUAUAAUGUCUCUUUAUGGUUUUAAAAUUCUUGGCCAAAGAAUAAAAAGCAAGGAAAUAAUGUAGAUAUUCUAUUUUUUAACUUAGCCUUAGGAUAUUUCUUCCUACAUAAAUCUUAAAAAUUAAGUAAAGUUGUCCUUGUUGAUUUUGUUUUGAUUUGGUUUUGGAGAGAGUGUGGUUUGAAUGUUACAUACCAAGUAUUUUGCUAUCUAGUGAAAACAGUUCAAAAGCUACUAAUUUAUAGGAAAGCAAAUGCCUGAAUAAGGCAAGGUGUCUGAUGCUUAUUAGGUGAUGUAUACAACCAAGAAACAAAAAUAAAAGAAAAAGGAAAUACAUCAGUCCCCUCCUUGGACUGUCCAUCUAGAUUUGUGACAUCAGCAUUAAAGGAAACCGUUUGUACUUCUUCCUGUCUCUUAGCUUAUUAUUCAAUAUUUUUAUAGUUCUUUUCCUC
rnacentral:lncRNA from 9 species